GCUUUAUUUUGGUGCAUUACGCUAUAAAAACGCGGCGCCAGCUCAGCCGAAACAUCGUCGUCGUCGGUCGCCGUCGCUCCUUCUUCGCUGCCGGGUCUUGCCGGGAACCGUCGACCGGUCCCAGAGCACCAAAAAAAGAUCAAGCAGGGGGAAAAAAAAAAAAACCCCGAAACCCCCCCAAAAUCACUUGGACACCGUAAGCGAUAACUCGACUGACCCACGGGACAAGACGAGCUUCUUCCCUUAAAGGAUGUUGUUAUCGACGGCGCCCACAAAACGCGGGGUUGAUUUCCAAGAGGGAAAGCGUUAAUGAUGUCAUCGUCAGGAAGGUUUUUGUCUCUCGCGAUGGCAACUUUGGCACCGGCCGCGGAAGCGGCCUUUGACACAGGCGAAAUCCUUCAGCAGAGCGAAAUAACCCACCCGCACGCACCGAGUUUUGGUUAAAAAAAAAAAAAAAAACAAAACCUCUUCCUAAUAAAUAAAUCGUCAGUCGUA